AGUUUUCUUUAUUGGGGUUGCGGACAUAUCAUAACGAAGAGGUAUCGUAAUUGAAGAGGUUUGGAAAGACCCACCACAGAAGGUAAUAGUCCUGUAUGUUAAACGAGAAGACUUCAGAUAUGAUCCAGAGUACCACGGGACACGUGAAACCCUGUGGGAAGCAGGAGGGACCACCCUCCAAGGCUAAAUACUACCUAGUGACCGAUAGCGUAUAGUACCGUGAGGGAAAGGUGAAAAGAACCCCGGGAGGGGAGUGAAAUAGAACCUGAAACCCUGCACUUACAAGCUGUGGAAGCACAUUUCUUGUGUGACCGCGUACUUUUUGUAGAACGGGCCAACGAGUUACGUUAAGUAGCAAGGUUAAGCACUUAAGGUGUGGAGCCGUAGCGAAAGCGAGUUUUAACUGAGCGUUCAGUUACUUGACGUAGACCCGAAACCGGGCGACCUACCCAUGAGCAGGAUGAAGCGAAAGUAAAAUUUCGUGGAGGUCCGAACCCACGAGCGUUGAAAAGCUCGGGGAUGACUUGUGGGUAGCGGUGAAAUUCCAAUCGAGCCCGGAGAUAGCUGGUUCUCCCCGAAAUAGCUUUAGGGCUAGCCUCAAGGUGAGAGAUACGGAGGUAGAGCACUGAAUGUCCUAGGGGGUAUUGCACCUACCGAAGACUAUCAAACUCCGAAUGCCGUCAUCUUAUACUUGGGAGUCAGACUGUGGGUGAUAAGAUUCAUAGUCGAAAGGGCAACAGCCCAGAUCGUCAGCUAAGGUCCCUAAAUGUAAGUUAAGUGGUAAAGGAUGUGGGAUUGCACAGACAACCAGGAUGUUGGCUUAGAAGCAGCCACUCAUUCAAAGAGUGCGUAAUAGCUCACUGGUCGAGUGAUCCUGCGCCGAAGAUUUCCGGGGCUAAAACUUACUACCGAAGCUACGGCAUCAGUAAUGAUGGGUAGGGGAGCUUCCCAUACGGGUUGAAGCAUGACCGUAAGGACAUGUGGACAGUAUGGGAGUGAGAAUGUUGGCAUGAGUAGCGAGAUGUGGGUGAGAAUCCCACAGGCCGUAAACCCAAGGUUUCCAGGGGAAGGUUCGUCCGCCCUGGGUUAGUCGGGACCUAAGCUGAGGCCGAAAGGCGUAGGUGAUGGACAACAGGUUGAUAUUCCUGUACUACCGAUAACCGUUUGAGAGAAGGGAUGACACAGUAGGAUAAGCUAAGCACACUGUUGGUUAUGUGUGCCCAAGCAUUGAGGCAGUCAAAGUAGGCAAAUCCGCUUUGAUAAUGCUGGGAUGUGAUGGGGAGCGAAAUUUAGUAGCGAAGUAGCUGAUUUCACACUGUCAAGAAAAGUCUCUAUCGAGGUUAAAGGUACCCGUACCGCAAACCGACACAGGUGGGUGAGGAGAGUAUCCUAAGGCCAGCGAGAGAACUGUUGUUAAGGAACUCGGCAAAAUGACCCCGUAACUUAGGGAUAAGGGGUGCCACCAUCAGGUGGCCGCAGAGAAUAGGCCCAAGCGACUGUUUACCAAAAACAUAGGUUUCUGCUAAGUCGCAAGACGAUGUAUAGGAGCUGACGCCUGCCCGGUGCUGGAAGGUUAAGGGGAUCUGUUAGAGCAAUCGAAGCAGUGAACUUAAGCCCCAGUAAACGGCGGCCGUAACUAUAACGGUCCUAAGGUAGCGAAAUUCCUUGUCGGGUAAGUUCCGACCCGCACGAAAGGCGUAACGAUUUGGGCACUGUCUCAACAACAGACUCGGUGAAAUUGUAAUUCCGGUGAAGAUGCCGGAUACCUGCGACAGGACGGAAAGACCCCAUGGAGCUUUACUGUAGCUUGACAUUGGGUCUUGGUACUACAUGUACAGGAUAGGUGGGAGGCUUUGAAACCAGGACGCCAGUUUUGGCGGAGCCAUCCUUGGGAUACCACCCUUGUAGUACUGGGACUCUAACCAUAGGCCAUGAAUCUGGUCUUGGGACACUGUCAGGUGGGCAGUUUGACUGGGGCGGUCGCCUCCCAAAAGGUAACGGAGGCGCUCAAAGGUUCUCUCAGUACGGUCGGAAAUCGUACGUAGAGUGUAAAGGCAAAAGAGAGCUUGAUUGCAAGACAUACAGGUCGAGCAAGGAUGAAAAUCGGACUUAGUGAUCCGGUGGUUCUGCGUGGAAGGGCCAUCGCUCAACGGAUAAAAGCUACCCUGGGGAUAACAGGCUUAUCUCCCCCAAGAGUCCACAUCGACGGGGAGGUUUGGCACCUCGAUGUCGGCUCAUCACAUCCUGGGGCUGUAGUAGGUCCCAAGGGUUGGGCUGUUCGCCCAUUAAAGUGGUACGCGAGCUGGGUUCAGAACGUCGUGAGACAGUUCGGUCCCUAUCCGUCGCAGGCGUAGGAAAUUUGAGAAGACCUGUCCUUAGUACGAGAGGACCGGGAUGGACGUACCUCUGGUGUACCAGUUGUUCUGCCAAGGGCAUGGCUGGGUAGCUAUGUACGGAAUGGAUAAGCGCUGAAAGCAUCUAAGCGCGAAGCCAACU
rnacentral:rRNA from 1 species